AAUGGAUACUAACGAGUAGGUGAACUGACGCCAACGAGAGUCUCAUGAAAAGACGGCAUCUCCUCCGAAAUUAAUUGUGAAGGCAUUGUACGAUUAUCAAGCAGAAGAUGAUGAUGAGAUCUCUUUUGAUCCAGGCGAUAUAAUAACAGACAUAGAUCAAAUAGAUGAAGGUUGGUGGAUUGGGACAACAGCAAAUGGAGCACGCGGGAUUUUCCCGGCAAAUUUUGUGGAAGUUUGUGAAAACACUUAAGCUGACGUAACAGAUGUUUAAGGAAACGAGAGUAUUUUUAAAAGAAAAUAAAAAUAGAAUACUUAUAAGUUAUAACUGACUACCCUGAAACGGAUUAUAGUUUACAGCAAUAUUCUUCAGGACUGUUUAAGGCGUAACAACCAACUCCAAUUACCUAUAUGACCAUAGUGUAGCAUGGUCAUUUAUUUUUAUUUAUGUUUAAGAUUAAAACCAUAAAGAAAUGAUAUAAAAAUAUUAUGAUUUGAUAAGACAGACAGAUGUGUUUAAGAAACAAGCCCCGGCCUUAUUCAAUAAAAAUGUGAGCUUUUUAAAAAAAAAAUUCAUGGGUUAAUUUUGAAAACAAUAAGUUAAUGAAUAUGUAGUGAGCUGCAAUGUUACGAACGAUACUUUGGAAAUCUAAGUGUUGCAUAUAUAGAAUGCAAGCAAUGUGAUAUAAACUAUAUUAUGAUGUUCAACUUUUAUUAAACUGAUUAACAACA